rnacentral:rRNA from 1 species
CUCCUGACUGACCGAUAGUGAACCAGUACCGUGAGGGAAAGGCGAAAAGAACCCCGGCGAGGGGAGUGAAAAAGAACCUGAAACCGUGUACGUACAAGCAGUGGGAGCAUGCUUAGGCGUGUGACUGCGUACCUUUUGUAUAAUGGGUCAGCGACUUAUAUUCUGUAGCAAGGUUAACCGAAUAGGGGAGCCGAAGGGAAACCGAGUCUUAACUGGGCGUUAAGUUGCAGGGUAUAGACCCGAAACCCGGUGAUCUAGCCAUGGGCAGGUUGAAGGUUGGGUAACACUAACUGGAGGACCGAACCGACUAAUGUUGAAAAAUUAGCGGAUGACUUGUGGCUGGGGGUGAAAGGCCAAUCAAACCGGGAGAUAGCUGGUUCUCCCCGAAAGCUAUUUAGGUAGCGCCUCGUGAACUCAUCUCCGGGGGUAGAGCACUGUUUCGGCAAGGGGGUCAUCCCGACUUACCAACCCGAUGCAAACUGCGAAUACCGGAGAAUGUUAUCACGGGAGACACACGGCGGGUGCUAACGUCCGUCGUGAAGAGGGAAACAACCCAGACCGCCAGCUAAGGUCCCAAAGUCAUGGUUAAGUGGGAAACGAUGUGGGAAGGCCCAGACAGCCAGGAUGUUGGCUUAGAAGCAGCCAUCAUUUAAAGAAAGCGUAAUAGCUCACUGGUCGAGUCGGCCUGCGCGGAAGAUGUAACGGGGCUAAACCAUGCACCGAAGCUGCGGCAGCGACGCUUAUGCGUUGUUGGGUAGGGGAGCGU